rnacentral:rRNA from 1 species
ACGUACACUCCUACGGGAGGCAGCAGUGGGGAAUAUUGGACAAUGGGCGCAAGCCUGAUCCAGCCAUGCCGCGUGAGUGAUGAAGGCCCUAGGGUUGUAAAGCUCUUUCACCGGUGAAGAUAAUGACGGUAACCGGAGAAGAAGCCCCGGCUAACUUCGUGCCAGCAGCCGCGGUAAUACGAAGGGGGCUAGCGUUGUUCGGAUUUACUGGGCGUAAAGCGCACGUAGGCGGACUAUUAAGUCAGGGGUGAAAUCCCGGGGCUCAACCCCGGAACUGCCUUUGAUACUGGUAGUCUUGAGUUCGAGAGAGGUGAGUGGAAUUCCGAGUGUAGAGGUGAAAUUCGUAGAUAUUCGGAGGAACACCAGUGGCGAAGGCGGCUCACUGGCUCGAUACUGACGCUGAGGUGCGAAAGCGUGGGGAGCAAACAGGAUUAGAAACCCCUGUAGUCC